rnacentral:rRNA from 1 species
AUUAUUUUUUUAGAUUCUUUUUUAUUGUUGAAAAAAUUAAAAACAAAUUGUUUUUUACAAUAAUUAAAAUUUAUAAUAUUUCAAUUUUUAAUUUUUAGUUUUAAAUAAAAAUUACAAAUAUGAAAAAUAAAAAAAUUUUGUUAUAAAUUAAAUUAAUUUAUUUAUAUUAAAAAUAUUUUUUAUAAUUUUUAUUUUUUUUUAUUUUUUUAAAAAAAAAAUAAUUUAAUUAUAAUUAUUUAUUUAAAUUUAAUAAUUAAAUAUAAAAUUUUUUAUUAAAUAAAUUUAAUAAUAAAUGUUUUUUAAAUUCUUUGA